rnacentral:lncRNA from 1 species
UGGUUAAACUAUUGUCUCAAAUUAUUUAACUUGGGGUAAGCAAGUUGAUUUGGGUCACUUGAUCCACAUGAAUGAAGAAGAUUUGGAUUAUGGCUAAGUAAAGCAUUAAUGAAAUCUUUGGAUCUGUUAGAAAUGAAUAUUAAUGGUCUAAUAGUUGAAUGAGAUUUUUAUCACGGGUGGCUUGAUUGUGAAUUCUAUUGGAGGUUGAUUCACAAGUUGGAAGCGAUAGUGGACUAUGAAAUUAAAGGAGUCGAGUUCGUUGGAAGUUUGUGAAAAAUAUAGAUCAGAAUCCACCUAUUUGAGUAUAAUGGGAACUAGAGGUUCGCGGACUGAUGAAUGGAACAAGGUUUGGUGACAAAUCUGAGAUCGGGUAAGCAAUGCCAGUUCAUCCAUCCGUCAGGUUAUAUCGCCGACUUAGACGGGUCAUCAUGUUUUACUUACCUUUACGGCAUUCGGUAGUUUUAAAUCGUGUAAGCUUCAUGAGUCAGACGUAGUGUCUUGUUUUGUUUAUGUUCAAGUUUAGAGUUGUAAAAUGGAUUGUAAACAGGUUUUGCUACCGUAACGGUUAUCCGUAAUACGAACGGGUCAUGCCAAAAUUUUAUAAAAAUUGGAAUGGAAUAUGUAAGUUU